rnacentral:tRNA from 1 species
GCCUUCGUGGUGUAGUGGUCAGCACGCUCGACGCGUAACCGAGAGAUUUGUGGUUCGAUUCCCGGCGAGGGCA